GGGCUGGGGCGGGGGAAGCCCGAGCUUCCCCCGACCCCAGCCCCCAAACAGGCAGCUCUCUGCAAGCCGUGGGAGCCCAGCGCUGGCUCCCGCUGCUUGCGGAGAGGUCCGCGAAGCCUGGACGCGCUGAGCUCAGCGCGCGCAGGCUUCAGCAUGCAGGCAACUCUCCGCAAGCAGCGGGAGCCCAGCGCUGGGCUCCCGCUGCUUGCGGAGAGGUGCGCGAAGCCUGCAUUCGCCCCAUAGGACACACACACAUUUCCCCUUCAUUUUUGGAGGGGGAAAAGUGCGUCCUAUAGGGCGAAAAAUACGGUACUU